rnacentral:rRNA from 1 species
GAUGAACGCUGGCGGCGUGCCUAAUACAUGCAAGUCGAGCGAACAGACGAGGAGCUUGCUCCUCUGACGUUAGCGGCGGACGGGUGAGUAACACGUGGAUAACCUACCUAUAAGACUGGGAUAACUUCGGGAAACCGGAGCUAAUACCGGAUAAUAUAUUGAACCGCAUGGUUCAAUAGUGAAAGACGGUUUUGCUGUCACUUAUAGAUGGAUCCGCGUCGCAUUAGCUAGUUGGUAAGGUAACGGCUUACCAAGGCAACGAUGCGUAGCCGACCUGAGAGAGUGAUCGGCCACACUGGAACUGAGACACGGUCCAGACUCCUACGGGAGGCAGCAGUAGGGAAUCUUCCGCAAUGGGCGAAAGCUUGACGGAGCAACGCCGCGUGAGUGAUGAAGGUCUUCGGAUCGUAAAACUCUGUUAUUAGGGAAGAACAAAUGUGUAAGUAACUAUGCACGUCUUGACGGUACCUAAUCAGAAAGCCACGGCUAACUACGUG